UACAGAGGUCUCAAGCGUUGUUCGGAUUCAUUGGGCGUAACGGGUGCGUAGGUGGCGCUGUAAGUCGGGUGUGAAAUUUCGGAGCUUAACUCCGAAACUGCAUUCGAUACUGCGGUGCUUGAGGACUGGAGAGGAGACUGGAAUUCAUGGUGUAGCAGUGAAAUGCGUAGAGAUCAUGAGGAAGACCAGUGGCGAAGGCGGGUCUCUGGACAGUUCCUGACACUGAGGCACGAAGGCCAGGGGAGCAAACGGG
rnacentral:rRNA from 1 species